UCCAAAAUAAAAUCCAUGUGGCUCUCAUUCUAUGGGACCAUAGGAAGAUAAAGAACAAGCCUCACAUCAAGUUGAUAUAAAUUUAAAAAUCUUAAUUAUGGAGUGUAACUUACCUUUUAAAUGCAUUAACAAGUUAAUGUGACACCAAUUGCGGAUAAAUGUAGGGAAUAACUUGGGUAGUUGGCUCAUGACAUGUAUAGAAGCUCUCAUUUACGAGCACAAAUUUGUCCCAACACAAACCACUGGAUUACCUUCUGUACAUUCCCAAAGACAGAUUUGUCUAACUUAAGAACACAGCCCUCCAACAACAAAAAGCAAACUAGACAGCCUUCUCUCUCAUAAAUUAUCUGUUACUUUAUAUUAGGAGGGGGGAAGGAAAAUCAAUAGUUACUUGAAUAUAAAGAGAAUGAGGCCUCAAAGCCAAAGAUAUGCUGCAGGUAACAGUCAAAUUGUUAGUUCGUCUGUCAUUCCAGACGUUAUUCAGAACUGAAACAUCUUUGUCAUACUAUUGAAUGAUGACCAUAACUGAGUAAAAUUAUAUUCAUUUUGACUGUCGAUCUUCAGAUAAUUAUAGGUUAAAGGCCACGCGGCAUUAUUUUCUAAGAACCAUUAAUAGGUAUUACACAAAUGACUGUCGUGUAAACCCAACUCACCCAAAG
rnacentral:lncRNA from 1 species